AACACCUACGGGGCGCAGCAGUGGGGAAUAUUGCACAAUGGGCGCAAGCCUGAUGCAGCAACGCCGCGUGAGCGAAGAAGGUCUUCGGAUCGUAAAGCUCUGUCCUUGAGGAAGAAGGAAGUGACGGUACUCAAGGAGGAAGCCCCGGCUAACUACGUGCCAGCAGCCGCGGUAAUACGUAGGGGGCACGCGUUAUCCGGAAUUAUUGGGCGAAAAGAGUACGUAGGUGGUUUUGUAAGCGCGGGGUGAAAGGCAGUGGCUUAACCAUGGUAAGCUUUGAGAACUGCACGACUUGAGUGCAGGAG
rnacentral:rRNA from 1 species